GGGGAGGGGCGGGGCGAGCAUACCUCCCUGAGAACUGGCAUUCAGCGGACAGCCGGGGACCUCAGCACAGAGACUUCAUAAAGUGGAGGUCUCUGUCUGAGAACAGCAAUUGUACAAGACUACAGACGUCUGAACAAAAACAAAGACUAUAAAAGAGGAAGAGCGGGUGCUUCUGUGUCUAGUGAUGAAGGAUUAAGCCCAGAGCCUCAAAAAUGCUCUGCCACUAAGCUACGUCCCCAGUCAACUACACCAAUCAUUAGCCCGGCUGCACGGCUAAGGCUACUGAGACAAGGCAUGAAGACACACGAAGUAAAUUGACUGAUGCUUGCACUUCCCUUGUGCUUUGUCCACAAAGACCUCCUGUUUACACUGUUUUUAUCCUCCACGAGGCCGCUCUGAACUAAUUCUUGCUCUUACAGAAGAAGAAAAUUAGCUGUAAGCCUCCAAGCAUUCAGACCCUCCAUUUUUUGUAAAUAGAUGGCACAGUCCUAGACAGGAGAUACCUAUCUACUAAAAAAUGUCAAGAUUAGGGCAAAAUAUACAACUGUGUUCGGAAAACAUGGAUUCUGCCUCAUAUCACAACACAAAUAAAGCAAUAAGG